rnacentral:rRNA from 1 species
AACGAACGCUGGCGGCAGGCUUAACACAUGCAAGUCGAGCGCCCCGCAAGGGGAGCGGCAGACGGGUGAGUAACGCGUGGGAACGUACCUUUUGGUUCGGAACAACUCCGGGAAACUGGAGCUAAUACCGGAUAAGCCCUAACGGGGAAAGAUUUAUCGCCGAAAGAUCGGCCCGCGUCUGAUUAGCUAGUUGGUGAGGUAACGGCUCACCAAGGCGACGAUCAGUAGCUGAUCUGAGAGGAUGAUCAGCCACACUGGGUCUGAGACACGGCCCAGACUCCUACGGGAGGCAGCAGUGGGGAAUAUUGGACAAUGGGCGCAAGCCUGAUCCAGCCAUGCCGCGUGAGUGAUGAAGGCCUUAGGGUUGUAAAGCUCUUUUGUCCGGGAAGAUAAUGACUGUACCGGAAGAAUAAGCCCCGGCUAACUUCGUG